rnacentral:siRNA from 1 species
UAGGUUUAUCUCGACAAUCUCCUC